UAUAAGUUAUUCUCCCCCGCGCCGCCUCUCCCCUUCUCCUCCCGUCGCGCCGCCCCUUCCCUCGCCUGCGCAUGGCAGCGCCGCCGUCCGCCGUCGCCUCGCGCCCCCAGCCCCGCCGUCGCCGUCGCCUCGCGCCCCCAGCCCCGCCGCUAGCUCGCUCAGCCGCCACAUCCCGCGCCAUCUCCGCCCCCACGCCGCUCGUCGGAGGCCGGCGCGGGCGAUGGGCGGCCGGCCGACCUAUGGAAGGGGCCGCCGGCUAGCGAAUCGUCGCGCGUCCUCUCCACCCAAUCCCCACUCCUCCCCGUCUCCACCUCAGGCGUGCGCGGCCGCCGGCUCCAUCCCCAAUCGACGGUGCCCCUCGCCCCUCCCCUAUCCAUCUCUCCCCCGUGCCAAUUCCUCCACCUCUGGACCAGGUAGAAGGAGCUCGCCGGCCGUCGGUGUAGCGCGGGAUCGGCGCAAUUGGAGAUUCACGGCCGCCGAGGCGGUUUCCACUCUGCCCCCGGUCACCAUCGCCCUCCCAGCAAGCGAAGAAAAGGGGCGGCACUGGAGAGGAGACAUAGACGGGGGAGCGGAUUGAUUGUGGUCUUGGGUGGAGAGGGGUCAAAGUUGAAGUGCCUCACCUUGUUGAGCAGAUAGGGAAGUGCGACCGCUUCCUCGACCUCGAUGUCAGACUGGAAGCGACAUAGACAUAGCUGCUCUGAAGGUUUUCCAUGCUACCCAGUGGUACAAAUUUGGGAUGAAUAUGCCUUGCUUACUAAAAAGAAGAGCUCUAAAUAAGUUUUGCUGGUUAUUUCUGGUGGGUCAUGAUCUCUGUUAGAGGUGGAUUAUGUUUAUAAACCUUCAUGCUGUUAAUCAUGGGCGAGGAUUCCACUGUCAUGUUGCCUUUCUGGCAUCAAAUGCCCCUGUGUGAUCCCACAGAUUUACAGGUUCAGACGUGGUCCUUGUAGUGGGAUAUCAAAAUGGUCAGGCCUUGAGAUUCUCGCUGAGAGCUCCUUGAUGUAGUUAUUAACAUGGAGUUACGAGACAGGCAUGGAUAAAUCCAUGCUCUUCUCAAAUGGACGAAUUGGUAUGAUAAAUCCCAUUGGCUGAUCCCUUGCCUGCACAACAGCUCUCCAUGGGUGACUUCAUUGUAGUGGACCGAGAUAUUGUUGUUGUGUAGCAUUAGUGUCUUAGCUUGGUCAUACUAUUUCAUUAUCCUUUUGAAUUAUGUUCCUAAGCACACUUACACAUUUUCUCCCCAUGCCACCAGAUUUAUAUGAGCUGUUCCCGUGCAAAGAUAUAUUUAUCUUAUCAAUGUUAUGUUAUCUGGUAAAAAAAUCAUUGUUUCAGUUCCAUAAGGUGUUAUUUGGCUAGAUUGUUACCCUGGGAAUUGGGACUAAUUGGUCUCGCUAGAAAGAGUAUACAACAACAAUUCAAAUGCAGUCCCUGUGAUAUAACAAGGCUAACAAGAAAACCAGAAACAGAGCUUAUGAUUUGAUUAUCGAAAUUGGCGGUUCUUGUGAAGAUGCUGAAAAUGAUGGGAGGAAUGCCAACCUGCACCAGUUCUUUGACAUGGUCUGAAACUAUUAAAAGAGCUAUUCCAGAUCUGAAACUAUCAAAAGAGCUAUAUAUGGUACCUAUUUCUCCGAGCAGUGCCUGUUUGUUGUUCCAGGUAUGAAACUAUUAACAUUGAUGCCAUUUAUUUAACAGCUAACUCCAUGCACAGUACAAGUUCAGUUAUGAAGUUUCAGUUUCAGCUUCAGGCUAAGAAAAUGAACUUUUGUCCGUAAGAUGUUAGCAACUCUAAAACAUGGAGAGCUGUCCAUCGUGAAUGUAUCUGAAUAAAUUUAGGCAUCUAGCUUGGGUCCAUCUAAAAGAACUAAACAUAUGCAUUAGAUUUCAGUGUGCUUUCUGGUACAUGUGGUCAAUUAGAGAGUUAAACAUUUAAUGUGCUAUGACUAGGUGGUUAACCAUCUCUCUUACUUAGCUACCUGAGAUUGGGUUGAUCGCUGUUGUUUGGUUAUUAACUAAUAGACUAUAGAACAAUGGUAUUACUUUUUUGCAGUACAUUAUGAUGCUAAUAACAGAGUACUGUUUAUACAUUUCGUGACGAUGCUUGCAUUAAAAAAAUCAUGUGCAUCCAGGAGUUCAUUUCUUGGAUGAUGUUUGUGCUGAAUACCACGUCACCCCACAAGAGCCUGAAGGCGUGCUGAUUGUUUGCCUUUUCUGUUUGAGAACAGCUAGGCAGUUCUAAUUUUGGCUGAUGAAUCACUCCCUCAUCUACUAAAAAAUUCCUAGCUGUUUUGAGAUAAUCAAGACAGGCAAAUUUCAUUAACUUGAUAUGAUAGAAUCGAGUAGCAACAAUCAGUAUAUUACCGUUGUUCUAUGAAAACUGUUGCACAUUCCUGUAGUACCUGUAGGGUUGUUCACAGCCUCUUCGGUUAUGUUGUUUUGUCACUUUCGUCACACUAUGUGUUAACACGUUGGUUAGACUUAAGUGUAAUUUAGUGUUGGUCCCAGAGUAACCGUAUUUAUGACGCGGUCUCCACUGUUCUCUAUGAACGCUAUUGCUGUUGUAGUGCUAAAUAAAGGUAUGUAUCUACACAUACCUUAAAAGUAUAAAAGAGUAAUAUAGUGUACUAGCCGUAAAAAUAAACAUCUGAAAAUAAUGUAAUGAAAAUUACCAGGAUGGUUCGCAUAAGGAAGUCCUUGCCAUUUGAUUAGAUAUUUUGGCACCACAUCAUCACCAUCGACUUUCGUAGCCCUAUCAGCAAAUACGCGCUCAACCUGGAGAUUGGUAUUUCAGAAUGGGUACAAAUACAACACCGGAAGACAUGUACUAAUGGUCUAAAAUUGGAAUUAAAGUGAUACCUGCCUAUAUUGCUUAAUAAGGUUUCCUUGCCUACAUCAUGCACCCCAACCUGAUAGAUGAAGAAAUUAGCAGAAGACAUGAAUCUGAUAGGGAAUAAUAUAUUAUUAUUCAACAUAUCAUGAUAAAAUAAUUUUCCUAAGCAUGCAUAUGCAUUUCUUCUGUACCCUUCAAAAUUAACUUCUGGUAAUUGUUUAUUUUCUGGAUAUACAGGUGCAGCUGACAAUUGUCCGGCUGCAACCAGAAGAGCAUCCCUCAUCUGCACAAUGCAAAUAGCAACAAUAAGUGAAGACUUGUAGUUGUAAUCUCACUAGAAAAUUGAGAUGAAAAGGAAUGUUGAAUUAUCGUGAGAUUCUAGGGUUCAGUCAGAACGGAGGCCAGAGCUGCACGGAGACCAACGGAGGUUGACGAAGAGGUCAGGGAUGAGGGCGACAGCCUAUUGGAAAUGUUGGAGAGAGACCCCAGACCUGCAGCUGAAUGCUAUGGAGGUUCCGUUGUCUGCCUAGGGUCCAUAAGACAGCUGUUUGUUCGCCAGCCAUGCCUGCUUCGGCUUGCAUCGACCACGUCGUGCUUGGAGAGCUGCGAGAAAAGGGGCCCAGUGGAGGGGAACAUGAGGGGCGUGCUGCCGGCGCGAGCUAGCUGGUGGCAGUGCCGGGGAGUGGAAGUCGUAUAGGACAGGCGGACAGCGACGGAGAGGAGGCAGCCCCAGAGGCGAGAGGCGGGGAUGCAGGUGUGUGAGCGGCCGGUCGUUAUCGGUGGGGAGAAAGGGGAAUGGGAGGACGAGGCGAGACAGAGUGGAGUAGAUGGGUGUUGAAGCAGCGCAACACAAACUGAGGCUAUCGCCUGUCUCGAAGAGGUCCAAGCAACUGCAGAAUAGAGUAUGGGAUGCAUCCAAAAUUCCAAAUCAAGGCUGAUUGCAAGAAUCUGGUCAGACACUUCAAAGUCGGAAGUGGCAUUUGACACCUGAAGGUGUUAUUUAUCAUGAUAUUCGACCGUUUGUUCCGUUAAACUUUAUUUCAGUAGAAUUUAUGUUUUGCCCAAGAGGCUGCAAUAA